rnacentral:rRNA from 1 species
CAGCCGCCGCGGUAAUACGUAGGUCCCGAGCGUUGUCCGGAUUUAUUGGGCGUAAAGGGAGCGCAGGCGGUUUAGUAAGUCUGAAGUUAAAGGCAUUGGCUCAACCAAUGUAUGCUUUGGAAACUGUUAGACUUGAGUGCAGAAGGGGAGAGUGGAAUUCCAUGUGUAGCGGUGAAAUGCGUAGGUAUAUGGAGGAACACCGGUGGCGAAAGCGGCUCUCUGGUCUGUCACUGACGCUGAGGCUCGAAAGCGUGGGUAGCGAACAGGAUUAGAUACCCGAGUAGUCCCUGUCUCUUAUACC